UUGUGUUGAUAAUAGACUGGUGAUAUCAGGGAAGAACCAUUUAGGACACACUGAAGCAAUCCAGGUGAGUUACAAGAAGUCCUCAGCAAGAGACCCACCCUACAGCAAACAUAACUUCAAGUGAAAGGAAAAUGAAAUUAGAUGGAAUACUGACUCUAGAAGAAGGAAGAGAAACAGAAAUGGUAACUAUUCAGGUGCCUGCUUUACAAGGUCUGGUGCAUUGUUUCAUAUCCCAGUUAC